UUAAAUUUUGGUGUUUCCCAAUUCCCACUUUUCCUCCACCCCCAAGUUGACUCCGCAAAAUCCCUAGGUCUCCGUUUCCAAAAUCCACAGAUCAUGCACAAUCGAAGUCGAAUGUGGACCAUCAUCCCGCCCCUUUGGCCUCCGUUUCUCUUACUAGGCCCGCCGUCGAGCUUGUAGUCCAUAAUCAUUGUCUCUCUACUCAGUCUCAGUCAAGCUUCUAGUUCAUCCCCUUUUUCCUCCGUUUAUCUGCUUUCUGUGACUCUCUCUCAGCCUUCUCUUUUCUACUCCACUCCGGCGGCGAACUACUGGUAACCCACUACGAUUCAGACACCCUUCUUCGUAUUUUCUAUCCAGAGGUAAAUGGCUCGAAACAAGGUAAAGUUCAUCUGAUUUUCUGUUUCUAAAGUAUUUACACUCGCCAAUAUAUCACUUCAGUUCGUAUAACUCUUUGUUGCUAAGCUUUUUAACAUAAAUGUUUGAUGAUGUUAAUUGCAUAUAUGUCUAAUCUCCACUUAAUAUAGUUCAUCUUUUUUUUUUCAAUGGAGUUACUGUUGCUGGUUUGUUAGGGUAAGAAAUAUGAGGAUUAGUUUGUGGAUUUUGUUUACUGAUUUGUAUUUGUUAGCUUAUCGAUGUUCCUUAGAUGAAUGCUAACACCUAUUGUGGUUUAUAUUUAUAUGUGAAACUGAUGUUUAUUGUUUCUAUAAGUCAAAUUACAGAACUAAUAAUAGUUAUGAUGGUUACUCAAAGGAUUUAUCUUACCAAUUUCAAGAUAACAUGAAAGUAAUCCUUUUAUAUGUAUUUAUCAUUAGUCACAGAGCCUUCUUAUUUAUUUUUUGUUUAUUUUUUUUUUCAUACAUUUGUUAGCGCCAACUUAAUUAAUUUAGUUAUAUAUUAUAUUAAUGACACAUACUAUACAUACUAUCCAUACCGCCUUUACCUUCUAGUAAUACCCCUUCAUUAUAUUAACUUUUUCUUUAACUAUCCAUACCCCCUUUACCUUUAGUAAUACCCCUUAAUCAUUAUAACCUUUAGUAAUACCCUUAAUCAUUAUAUUAACUUUUUCUUUAAAUGAUUAAAAUGAUUAAGUAAUAAUUUAAUUCUUUUUGACUAUAAUCAAGUAAUUAUUUGAUAUGCAAAUAAUUGAUUAUCUAUUUAAUCCAUUUAAUAUAUUUUAAAUUUAUAAAAUGUAUUACAUAUAUUAUUUGUAUGUAAACUAUUCAAUCUAUUUAAUAAAACAUUUUUAUAUUUUAAAUUUAUAAAACAAAAAACGUUUGUUAUAUAUUAUUUAUACGCAACUAAUAAAAUUAUUUUAUAUAAAAGAAUUAUAUUUAACACAUUACAAUAAUAAAAUAAUAUUUCAACGCAACGGAUUAUAAAAAAGUUAAAAUAUAUUUGUACUUAAUCAAUAUGUAUCCAAGGUGCUACAGAACUACGAGGCCUAAGUUGAUUGUAUAAUUCAAAACGAGACCAAUACAUAGUUUCCCAUGUAGAUGCCGACAUGCUUCUAUGGGCAUUCUAAUACAUUGUGGUAGGAGGCAUUGGUAAUUUCCUUUCGAAAACCCAACAUAUAAUUGUUGCCAUUUACAUAUGCCAAUGUAAUGGCUUUGUGGGGUUGAAACUUCUCGGGACCUCUCCAAAGAGGGAAACAUGUCGUAGAAUGUUUGUGGCUUAAAUAGUGAACGAUCACACGAAACAUGUUGGAAAUCAGGUAACCAUUAAAAGGCAUAUGCAACCAAUAUCAAGAAGGUGCAGGUGUUUUAAACCAACACAAUGAAUCAUAUACCUUGUUGAACCCGUCAGUAAAAACUAUAUGGUAUGUAUAAUAUUGACUCUCUAACUCUUCAAGCAAUUGUUUUCGAUUAUAAAGCCACUGGUCUUCAUUGUACCCCAGACAAACGGCUACCACUUGAAACCCACAAUUUCCAUCACCUUCUACAUCAUGUAUGUCGUCAAUGUAAUCAUUAAAUAUAUCUGGAAUAUUUCUCAGUUGGAAUGGAUCAUGGCUCGGUGGUUUAUCAGUUAAGUCAGGUUCUUUAUUUAAAUCAAACCCAACAAACUCUGAUGUGGUUGAGAAGUUGUAUUUACUAGGAGGUUGAUUUUGAGGAUUAACUUUAUUUUUUUGAUGUUUCUUCACACUUGGUCGUCCACGAGUGUUUUUUUGAAUUGUAGGUUCUUCGAUGUUAGUUUUUUUGAAUUGUAGGUUCUUGAAGCUUUCUUUAAAAUUUUCAACUAUAUCAUCACACAAAAUAUUGUCGUCUACUACAAAUGUUGUAUCUGAAAUAUCAAGCUUCCCUCAAAAGAUAUCUAUUGAAUCCAAUGGUAUAUCUUCACCUGCAUUGAAAUAUAAAAUAAUUAUUUAUAUAACAUUUUAAAAACUAUCUGUAUGUGGUAGUCGAACGUACGAACCUGAAUUCAAGUAGACAAAAAGUAUGCAAACACGUGGUAACCCACAAUUGUUACGAAGUUUGCAACCACAAUUUGACGAGUCUAAAUUUAGAUCAUUCAACAUUUGAAGCUCUUUUAAUAUUAUAUCUAUAGCUUUGUUCGAAACAAAACCAAGCAGUAACCGGAAGCACUUCAAAUUGUGGUGAUUGUAGCGAUAACAUAUGCUGUUUUCAAAACUUUCGUUGAUCGAAGUUACCUGUGACUGCACAAUUUAAGUAAUCUGUUGCACAAAUAUAUCUAGAUUACAAUUUGAGAAGUCCAAAAUUUUCUUUAACUUGGAAUGGGAGCUCUCAACUCUAUUGGGUGUGCGGUUUCCAAAAUUUAAAUGUUGAUCAACCAAACGUACACAAACAUUCCUUUGUACUUAUUUAACCAUGUAUUCUCUAAGUAUCUCAAAACACUUACGAAGUAAAAUAAAUUAACAAAUAAGUACGUAAAUAGUAAUAUGAAGGUUUUGAUUUAAAACAUAGUCAAUAAACAAAGCUUACGUGGAUAAUCUGAGAACAUUGAUUGAAGUCGCUCAUAGUUUUCCAUGUAUGCCAUCCAUGUUGGAGACCCAACUAGUAUGGCGUGGCACUACAUGUUUUCCUGUUAAAUUUGCCACCAAACGAUUCUAAUCAACAAAUAACCGUCGUACAAAAAGAUGACCCUCCAUAUGCCGUGUAGGUGUAUGAUUAUGUUCAUCACAUUUUACCCUUAGCAUCCAUCAAUCAAAUAUUUUUGAAUACUUUCCUUGCAAUUCAAAUUUACAAUUAGUCUUUCUGCUUCCAGAUGUUCUAAUUGUGUUAAUAGCUUUAUACUCUCCACUAGGAUCACAUGCAAGUAUGACUUUAUACAUGAAUCCGUUCACAUAUGUUUUUGAUAAUUUCGUGAUGAUGACAUAUCAUAGAGAUCGUGUUGUGUUUUGUGUCAAUUCAAACAAUUCCUCACGAGACCUGAACAUCUGAAAUUGAAUUUGAUGUGUUUUAGAAUAUAUUUUUUAUUUCAAAACAUCAUAAUCUAGUAUAAUUAUAUAACCUGAUCGCAAGGAGGCAAAGUUGAUUCCAAACAACUUAAACAUAUCUAUAUACAAAAAUCACGAUAGAUAUGUUGAUAUGAUGUUUCACAAAUACAAAAAACAUAAGAUUUCAUAAAAAAUAACUCAGUAUUUUUUAAAUCAAAAAAAUAAUGUAUUAACAUAAAAAGAUAUUUGCAAUUAUUUAAAUAAAAAAAUGCAGCUCUAAUUAGAAAAUAUGUUCGAUUAUACUUUGUCAAUUGAAGCUUUCACAUGAAGCAAUUAUUUAAACUUCGAACAAAAUAUGUGCACUUAUUUAAACUUCGAACUAAUGGUUAAAAUGAAAUAUUUUUAAACUGAUGGGCUAUAAAUAUAAAAUUCUAAGAUAUAAAAAUCUUACUUUCUCAAAAUCCUAACAACAUAAAUCGGCCGCCAAGAAGAGAGUGACAUACCAGAUGCAAUUUCCGGCGGCAAGAGUCGAAUUCCGACGACUUCUCCGAUUAAAUGGUAGGCUGUUUCAGGCGGCUUCUAGUACUUUUUCAAGUCACUUGAUGAUGUUCAUAGCCACUGGUCCAGCACUUCAUCGGCGGUCUUUCUCGGGGUGUUCCAGUCGUGUUUCUCACGAUCUCUCUCUCUCUCUCUCUCUCUCUCUCUCUCUCUCUCUUUCUUUCUCGUUCUGUCUUUCCGGGGAUCUCUCGUUCAAUACAAUAAUGAAUCAUAAUCAUCAAAAAAAUUGUUCACCACAGGAACCAACGUCAAUCAACAAACUGUCGUCGGCAACAACUAACCGACGGUAACCAAACCACACCGGAGAUAGAAAGGGAGAAAGAGAAAUUGUAAGAAAGACCACUGGAACCACCAUUUACCAUCGUUAAACACCUUUUUACCAUUGUCAACCAUUGUUAACCACCAUUUAACACCCUAUGAAUACCUUAAACCAUCGUGACCAGAUUGAGAAAAGCGAGCUAUUCAUCAUUUACGUCGGAGACAUAACGAUAGAUUGUCGAAAAGACAGAACGAGAAAAAGAGAGAUCGUGAGAAACAUGACUGGAACACCGUGAGAAAGACCGUCGACGAAGCGACAGACCAGUGGACGUUCACGAAGUGUUGGACCAAUGGCUAUGAACGUCAUCAAGUGACGUAAAAAAGUAGGAGAAACUGCCUGAAACAGCCUACCAUUUAAUCGGAGAAGCCGUCAGAAUUCGACUCUUGUUGCCGGAAAUUGCAUAUGGUAUGUUACUCUCUUCUUGACGGUUGAUUUAUGUUGUUAGGGUUUUGAGAAAGUAAGAUUUUUAUAUCUUAGAAUUUUAUAUUUAUAGCCCAUCAAUUAAAAAUAUUUCAUUUUAACCCUUAGUUCGAAGUUUAAAUAAAUGCACAUAUUUUGUUCGAACAUGUUAUCUAAUUAGAGUUGCACUUUUUUAUUUUUUAUUUAAAUAAUUGCAAAUAUUUUUUUUAUGUUAAUACAUUGUAUUUUCAAUUUAAAAAAUAUUGAAUUAUUUUUUAUGAAAGCUUAUGGUUUUUGUAUUUGUGCAACAUUAUAUUAAUAUAUCUAUCGUGAUUUUUGUAUAUAGAUAUGUUAAAGUCGUUUGAAAUCAACUUGUCUGCUUGCGAUCACGUUAUGUAAUUAUAUUCGAUUGUGAUGUUUUGAAAUAAAAAAUAUAUUCUAAAACACAUAAAAUUCAAUUUCAUAUGUUCACGUCUUGGAAUGAAUUGUUUGAAUGGACACAAAACACAACACGAUCUCUAGGAUAUGUCAUUAUCACAAAAAGAUCAAAAGCAUAUGUGAAAGGAUUUGUGUAUAAAGUCAUACUUGCAUGUGAUCGUAGUGGAGAGUAUAAAGCUAUUAACACAAUUAGAGCAUCUGGAAGCAUAAAGAUUAAUUGUAAAUUUGAAUUGCAAUGAAAGUAUUUAAAAGUAUUUGAUCGAUGGAUGCUAAGGGUAAAAUGUGAUGAACAUAAUCAUGCACCUGCACAACAUAUGGAGGGCCAUCUGUUUGUACGACGGUUAUCUGUUGAUGAGAAUCGUUUGGUGGCAAAUUAAACACGAAAGCAUGUAGCGCCACUCCAUACUAGUUGAGUCUCUAACAUGAAUGACAUACACGAAAAACUAUGAACGACUUCAAUCAAUGUUCAUAGAUUAUCCACGUAAGCUUGUUUAUUGACUAUGUUUUAAAUCAAAACCUUCAUAUUACUAUAUAUGUACUUAUUUGUUAAUUUAUUUUACUUAGCAAGUGUUUUGAGAUACGUAGAGGAUAUAUGGUUAAAUAAGUACAAAGAAAUGUUUGUGUCGGUUUGGGUUGAUCAACAUCUAAAUUUUUGAAACCACACAUCUAAUAGAGUUGAGGGUGCACAUUCCAAGUUAAAGAAAUUUUUGGACUUCCCAAAUUGUAAUCUAGAUAUAUUUGUGCAACAGAUUACUUAAAUUGUGCAGUUACAUACAACUUUGAUCAACGAAAGUCUUGAAAACAACAUAUAUUAUCGCUACAAUCACCACAAUUUGAAGUGCUUUCGGUUACUGCGUUGUUUUGUUUCGAACAAAGCUUUAGAUAUAAUAUUAGGAGAGCUUCAAAGGUUGAAUGAUAUAAAUUCAGACUCCUCAGAUUGUGGUUGAAAACUUCGUAAUUGUUGUGGGUUACCAUGUGCUUGCAUACUUUUUGUCUACUCCAAUCCAGGUUCGUACGUUCAACUACCACAUACAGAUAGUUUUUAAAAUGUUAUAUAAAUAAUUAUUUUAUAUUUUAAUGCAGGUGAAGAUAUACCUUUGGAUUCAAUAGAUAUCUUUUGGAGGAAACUUGAUAUUUCAGAUACGACACCUGUAGUAGACGAUAAUAUUUUGUGUGAUGAUAUAGUUGAAAAAAUUAAAGAAAGCUUCAUGAAGCAAUCAAAAGCCGAGAAAAACAACCUUAUAUGAGAAAGCUACAAGAGAUAUAUGAUCCACAAAAAACUAACAUUGGAGAACUUACAUUUCAAAAAAAAAAAAAAAAAAACACUCGUGGACGACGAAAAAAAGAAAGCCAAUCCUCCAAAUCAAGCUCCUAGUAGAUACAAGUUCUCAACCACAUUAAAGUUUGUUGGGUUUGAUUUAAAUAAAGAACCUGACUUAACUGAUGAACCACCGAGCCAUGAUCCAUUCCAAUUGAGAAAUAUUCCAGAUAUAUUUCAUGAUUACAUUGACGAUAUGAUGUAGAAGGUGAUGGAAAUUGUAGGUUUCGAGCGGUAGCCGUUUGUCUGGGUUACAAUGAAGACCAGUGGCUUUAUAAUCGAGGGAUUGGAAAUCCUUGGAGGGUUAGAGGGAUUGGAAAUCCUUCUAAUCUUUGGUGCUGUAAGAGCUUUGUCGAAACAAAGUAGGGGAGAAUCAUUCGGGGAUCUAGAAUUAGAAGUAGUUGUGAAACUAGGAGGAGUUUCGCAUUCCCAUCGGGGAGGAUGGUAGCCCAAGUGAUUGUUUGAAUUAAGGAUUGUGUGGAUGGGAGUUUGGAAAACUUCCCAAUUUUUGGGUUCAUGCCUUCUUGGUGUCGGGUAGCAAGCUUUGGGGAUCCAGUUAUGACUCUAGUUCAGCUUGGGUGUUAGGUCGAGUGUGUGCUUAACUUUGGAUGUCUUCGAAUUGAUAGAUUAGCGGUAAGGCUUUGGGCGACAGUUUGUAAGACUGUGGGGGGCCGUAGCAUUCACUAGUUCGUAGAAAAUGUAGGAGUGUUAUAAGACUGCAUGGUGGCCCAUAGCAUUCACUAGUCCGCAGAUAAUGUAGGCGUGUCAUAAGACUGCGGGGUGGCGCAUAGCAUUCACUAGGGGUUGGUUGUAAGACUGUGGGGUGGCUUGUAGCAUUCACCGGUCCUGUGCAGCGAGAGAGUGUGGCAAAUUUAUGAUUUGCUCACGGUUCUUCGGAUGGUUUGGGCCAGGGUGGGCCAGUUCGUAAGGCCGUGGGUGAGCCACAGUGUAUCCAUAAUCAGGAAAUGGAAGGUCACGGGAGACCAAGUAAGAUGUAAGACUACAGUUGGUCUUGUAGCGUUCAGUUUAGCAUUAGAUUUGGUGACUAGAUGGUUUAGGUAGUUGUUGUCAGCCGGGGUUUUCUUUAGGAAGUCACGUGUGGCGACUGUGGGAGUGUCUUUUGGCUCAACAUUCGGGCGGGAAUUCAGUAUUUUAGAUAGUUGGAAGACAAGUUGGGACCAGGGCGGUCUCGGCUGCUUGUGGGAAGCAACAAGGAGGCAGCGUGGUACUUCGGGCAAUAGUUGUGAUUUGAGGUUUCGUGUGGGAGUAGGGUGACUGGUUGAUUGGGAAAUGCUAAGCCACUCGCAGUGGGAUUAAAUAAUCUCAGAGUAAUUGAAUUGACCUUGUUGCGCAACUCUCGUAUGAGUCUAACCGUUGCAUGGAUGAAUCUUCUACUCGAAGGAUUAUUUGACCCUUCUAUCGAGUAUACGUGUUCUAUAGUUGUAUAAGGUCAGUGACUUUGUUCCUUUUGAAGCAGCAAUGUGAUCGGGGGUUGGAAGAAUUUUGUUUGGUACAAAACUCUAUGAGGUUGGCAUGGUGGCGGUUCGGUGUGGGAGGUCUGACAGGGAGUUAGACCAUUGAGACUUUAGGUUUCAAAUUUUAGGUGAGGUAAGAUUGGUUUUUAUUCAAGAAAUUGAGGAUUCAUUCUCUAUCGGGCUUGAAGAACUAUUCUACGGAUGGUUUUAGUAGAUCUGGAUAGGCCGUUGUAUGAUCAGGGUUGGAAGUGUUAUGUUGGUUUGUUAUUCGUUGAGAGUUUGGCAUGGAGUUGUUUCAGCAUGGGCGGUCUGUCGGGGAGUCAGACCAUUAUAGAUUUCGGGUAAUCAGAAAAGUAGAAGUGGUUCGGUUGUAGGGGAUGAAGGUUUGAUUGCUGUCUUCGGGAUGGAAGUUUUGGUUUAGGUUUCGGUUGUCUUGGGAAGAUAUUCUUAUGCGCAGAAUUUUCGAUAGUGUUCCUCAGGUUUUUUGUUUUGAUAUGAGUGUUAGUAAGGAGCAAUUUCGAGGACGAAAUCUAAUUUAAAUGUACAGAGAGUUGUAACACCCGAAAUAUAAAAGAUUAAUUGUGGAAGAAAAUCCCCUUUCCUAGGGACCAACACGGCGAGUUGAUGGUGGGAAACUCGACGUGUUGGAAGCUUUUGGGAUGCACAUUUUUAUGGACCAACUCGACGAGUUGGUGAAGGGAACUCGGCGAGUUGGACGCUGAUUGAGAAACCCUAAUUUUUAGUGUGCUGCACCCUAUUUAAAGGCCUUAAGUUAUUUGGUUGGCCUCCUUACCAGCCUCCUUUGUCCAGAAACCCUAAAAUCAAGCUUUACCUUUCAUUGUUGAGUGUGAGAGCUUGGGGAGACCCUUGGGUGUUCAUUUUUGGUGCAUGUUGAAGGAGCUAAGGAAUUAGGAGUUGCUUGGCCUGAAUAAGAAGUCUUGGAUCCAGAAUCUCUGUCUCAUUUGCUAAGUUUUUGAGGUAUCAAGUUCUCACAUUGCUUAUUAGUUGCUUAGAUAUCUUCUUGGGUUAGAUUUUAUGCUUUUUAGCCAUAGUUGGGUGGAUGUUGGGGAUUAGGGUGUCCCAAAUGAUUAUUCUUUCAGAUCUAAGGUCUACAUGAGCUCUUUUGGCAUAAAUGUGCCAACUUUAUGGAUUUAAGGACUUCAUGCAUUCAUUAAGUCCCUUAUUAAGCCCUUUUUGAGCUUUUGAGCUCCUCAUAGUCAUGCUUAAGCGUAAAGUUGGAAACUUUACGUGACCAUCUAGCCUUAUGGGGUCAGAUCUGCAUUUUAGGGUUUUGUCUUUGAUGAUUAAGUGUUUAAUGGUUAACCCCUCACUCUUUUAAGUCUAGGGUUUGGACCCAUUUAGGUGGUUCCUAGGGGUAAAGUUUCCAACUUUACCCUUCUUGAUCUCAUUUUGGUCGAGAUCUGAGCUUUGGAGCUCUUGGAUUCGAUGAAGGCAUCUUAAUGCAUUAAAUUGUUGGGUCUUGGGCGAACUCGGCGAGUUUGUUGGUCAACUCGGCGAGCUGACUUGGUUUUCCCCAUUUUAAGUUGAUAGAGAAACUCGGCGAGUUGUUGGUCAACUCAGUGAGUUGGGUCAACAUGGAUUGUUGAUCUUAAUUUUUUUGACUUUUUAUCUUUGAACAAGUUUGUCCCAAGGGGUACUUGAGGUAAUCUGAAUUGUAAGUAAAUGAAUUAUGGGCUUAAGAUAAGGCCCAUAUGGGGAUUGGGCCAAAUUUGGAAAAUUGGGCCAUUUGUGGACUUUUAUGGAUCGAGUAGUUUCUGGCAUUUUGGGCUUGAGUUAUUAAUGGUUCAUCGGGAUACAAAGUGUUUGGACUAGAAAGAUGGUUGGGCCUUAAGGCAAGGCCAUGUAUGGGGUUUGUGCCCAAAUUUGAAAAAUUUGGCCAUUGGUUGAUUAGUGGGCCUUUUAGAUUAUAGUUUGGGUCAUAUAUUUGGACAAGGAUAGGUUAGGGGUAAAAUGGUCUUUUUACCCUAGGUAUGAAGUUGUGGAUAUGGAUUGGAACCUAAUUGUUAAUUGGGUGUUGUUUUGGUCUAUCAGUUUGGAAGUGUCGUCAGGGCAGCAGCUAGGGAUUUCUUUCAGUGUGCUUCAACAUUCGAGGUGAGUCUCCUCACUGCUUUAGUGGUUCAAAGGCACCAAUCCCGGCCCAAGUUUAUAUUAAGUUGUUAGUAUGCUAGGUGUCUUUAUGACUCUUACAUGUGCCUGUGUUUAUAUGUUUUCCGAGCUAAGGCCCGAUGUCGAGUAGGGACUGAUGAAUAUUUGUAUGCUAUGUAUCUAUGUGAUUAUUUCAUGUGUGUGUUAUUUGAUAUAUGUUAUUGCACGUUGGGCGGGCCCGUUUUAUCGAGCUUAACUCGAUGCCGAGCGGGGCCUGAUGCCGGACGGGGUCCAAUGCCGGGCGGGGCCCACUAUAUGUUUAUUGUAUGUUUCUUGUAUGGUAUGUGGUAUUGGGGGAAUUCAUUAAGCUUUGUGCUUAUGGUUUUCAAUUUAUGUUUCAGGUACUUCAGUUUUCAAAUGAAAGAGCUCGGGACGAUCGCAACGCGUGCACCCGUGUUUUCUGCAAUAUGUGAUUUUUGGGAAUGAACUCUGAUAAUUGUUUUAUUUGAAAUGCUUUUCAAUGUUUGGACAAAUAUAAAAUAGAGUUUUGAUUAUAAUAAAAAUGAACUUUUUAUCCUUGAUUUUUGGGAUGUUUCAUACACCUUGCAUAUCAACCCAAACCGCAAAUAAUCUAUAUGUUUGAAAUGUUCUUUUGUAUUUAUAAUUUAUGGUUAUCAUCAUCACAAAGACAACUAGAAACUGUAAGUAAUAUAGUGUAUUUGGGAUGAGAAGGUUUUAUCCUUCAAACAACCAAAACGUAAGAGAACAACCCAGAUCUGAUACUCUUCUUCAAGAAAAAAAAAUGAAACCGUGAAGGAAAAACUAAACUCUCCUGAGAGACGUAAUAAC
rnacentral:lncRNA from 1 species